GUGCGUGGACGUGCUGUGCCAGUGUGAUUUUUGAGCGCAAGCAUCCAGUUGUGGAGAUCGAGCCUGUGGAUGGACAGAUCAGUAACUCAUCAAAUGUGAUACAACAAUAUGUCUUUAUGUCCAACAAAGAAGCAGGUGCCGCUUCCAGUGAAUUGGAGCUGACCUUGGACCUAGUGCCAGUGAGGAUGGUCUUCACUGAGGCGAAUCUGCUUCGGAGACGGUUCAGAGAGAGAGAGAGAGAGAGAGAGAGAGAGAGAGAGAGAGAGAGAACCAUACUGAAGAUCCUCCUCUGUGGGGUCCUCCACUUGCUGCACCUGUUUGGGCAUGGCUGGCUUCCUUCUCUUACAUUCCACACCCAUACGACCGAUAUUGUGAACCUCCAAAAUAGGCUGCAUGGCUACACUGAUAAGCUCCAUGGAGGCAUUCGCAUGUGGUAGAGAGAAUCCCC
ensembl:lncRNA